rnacentral:tRNA from 1 species
GCCACCAUCGUCUAGGGGUUAGGACAUUCGGUUCUCAACCGGAUAACGGGGGUUCGAGUCCCCCUGGUGGCA